GAACCUCACCUGUCUUGAAUAACACUUGCUGUUUACUGAGAAGUAGCCCUGCUCAUUUCUCUUUGGCGUUCUCUCUGGCCACCAGGUUUUCUGGGACUUGGUCUUUAUUUUAAACAGUUUGUAGAUAGAGACGAUGGAAUUUUGAAGUUAAUAGAAAGAAGCUGCAGUGACACUAUUAAUCCAAGAAAAAGUCUGCCAAACCUUACUUUACACUUUGAGAAAAUGUUUUGCUUGUUUUCAGUCUGGCCUCAUCACAGUCAUUUUGAACACACACACACACACACACACACAUACACUGUAGUGGGUUGAAUGGUGGCCCCUCAAAAGAUACAUUCACCUGGAACUUGUGAAUGUGACUCUAUUUAGAAAAAUGGUUUUUGCAGAUCUAAUAAGGAUCCUGAAAUGAGAUCAACCUGGAUUAUCCAGGUGGGCCCUAUAGCUAAUGACAAGUGUAGUAUAAGAGACAAGAGAAGACACGGGAGGGCAGAAGGCAAUGUGAAGACAGAGGCAAAGACUGGAGUGAUGCAACUGCAAGCCAAAGAAUCCCUGGAGCUGUCAGAGAUUGGAAGAGGCGAGGAAGCUUCUCCCCUGAGUCUUCAGAGGGAGCACAAGCCUGCCGACACGGUGAUUUUGGACUUCUGGCCUCCAGAACGACCAAGAAUCUCAGAUGGACAUUUUAAAGUAGAACAUAGGAUGAACUGGUUACCCCGGAAACCAGGGAAGGAAAAAAAAACCGAUCCAAGUGCAGUGUUAAUAAACAGCUUAGCGUGCAAAAAUAUAAUAGAAGAACGUUCCAGGUUACUCUGCUGCUGUCUUGGUUUUGGGAUAUAUUGGCCAUUGGCUGCAACCAGUCUUUCUCACCCUAAAUCAUCUUAUAAACUGUGUAUGAAGUUCUUUAAGACAGCUCUGUGACUGAACGAAAGGAAGAAAGAGCAAAGGGAAGGGCUGGAAGAGAGAGAGGGCAGCACAUGCCAUCGCCACUGAGGGAGAGGCAGCCGGUCAAGAUGAUUUUGCUUCACUGAGUAGCAUUUGGAAAUAAUUGAUGUAUAUUGUUUCUGGGCUUUUAUUUGGGUGUUAAAAAAUAAUUCUUCCCAUUUUUAUCUUCUUUAUUUUAAAAAGUUGCAUAUGCCUUUUGUAUAAAAUUUAGUUUGUAUAAAACAAAGCUAAAAAAAUCACAAAUCUGUUUCAUUUUAAAAAAAUCUUUAAAGGAGAAGUAUCUUUUUAACCUCAAUAUGUGUUCCGGGACUCUGGUUAUCUCAGUUGACCUAUCCUCAGAGACAGGUGUUCAUAGCUUCAGAUUCCACGUGGGUUGGUUUGUUUUGGGGCCAUUGUGAGAGACCAUUUUGAAAAUGCGCAGUAUUAAUCACCAAGGAGACUUAGAGAAGCUGUCAUGGGUAAAAACUAAUCAUUAUCAUUUCUUACAGAAGCAAUUCAAAGACCCUUUGAUAGUGG
rnacentral:lncRNA from 1 species